CCUACGGGUGGCAGCAGUGAGGAAUAUUGGUCAAUGAACGAGAGUCUGAACCAGCCAAGUAGCGUGAAGGAUGACUGCCCUAUGGGUUGUAAACUUCUUUUAUAUGGGAAUAAAACGUUCCACGUGUGGGAUUUUGUAUGUACCAUAUGAAUAAGGAUCGGCUAACUCCGUGCCAGCAGCCGCGGUAAUACGGAGGAUCCGAGCGUUAUCCGGAUUUAUUGGGUUUAAAGGGAGCGUAGGUGGAUUGUUAAGUCAGUUGUGAAAGUUUGCGGCUCAACCGUAAAAUUGCAGUUGAAACUGGCAGUCUUGAGUACAGUAGAGGUGGGCGGAAUUCGUGGUGUAGCGGUGAAAUGCUUAGAUAUCACGAAGAACUCCGAUUGCGAAGGCAGUUCACUGGACUGCAACUGACACUGAGGCUCGAAAGUGUGGGUAUCAAACAGGAUUAGAUACCCUUGUAGUC
rnacentral:rRNA from 1 species